rnacentral:rRNA from 1 species
UACCAGCUCUCCGAGUGGUGUGGACGUUUAUUGGGCCUAAAGCAUCCGUAGCUGGCUGAACAAGUCCCCUGUUAAACCCACCGAUUUAAUCGUUGGCUUGCGGGGGAAACUGCUCGGCUAGGGGACGAGAGAGGCAGACGGUAUUCCCGGGGUAGGGGUGAAAUCCUAUAAUCCCGGGAAGACCACCAGUGGCGAAGGCUGUCUGCUAGAACGCGCCCGACGGUGAGGGAUGAAAGCUGGGGGAGCGAACCGGAUUAGAUACCCGGGUAGUCCCAGCUGUAAACGAUGCAGGCUAGGUGUUUGGACGGCCACGUGCCGUUCUAGUGCCGCAGGGAAGCUGUUAAGCCUGCCGCCUGGGGAGUACGAUCGCAAGAUUGAAACUUAA